rnacentral:rRNA from 1 species
GAUGAACGCUGGCGGCGUGCCUAACACAUGCAAGUCGAGCGAAGAUAUGAGAAGUACUUGUACAGAUCGUAUUUUAGGCGGCGGACGGGUGAGUAACACGUGAGUAACCUGCCUUUUACUGGGGAAUAACAUCGAGAAAUCGGUGCUAAUACCGCAUAAUGUCACGAGAUCGCAUGGUAUUGUGACCAAAGGAGUAAUUCGGUAAAAGAUGGACUCGCGUCCGAUUAGAUAGUUGGUGAGGUAAUGGCUCACCAAGUCUACGAUCGGUAGCCGAACUGAGAGGUUGAUCGGCCACAUUGGGACUGAGACACGGCCCAGACUCCUACGGGAGGCAGCAGUGGGGAAUAUUGGGCAAUGGGCGAAAGCCUGACCCAGCAACGCCGCGUGAAGGAAGAAGGUCUUCGGAUUGUAAACUUCUUUGAUCAGGGACGAACAAAAUGACGGUACCUGAAGAACAAGCCACGGCUAACUACGUG